GCCCUUGAGAAACAACUCAACUAAAGUUAGAUGAAAACUACACACACGGAUAUAAACAACGCUGAUAAACCACAUGCUGAAUUAUGUUGGACGUGCUGUACUCGUAGUUGUAUCUAUAUUAGUACACUGUUUUUGCGAUCAUACCGUACGAUACGAACACAGAGGAGCCAAUACACUCGGACUGAAGAGACCUUGGCAGACGUCAGACUGCAGCGUCGACUAACCUGCAUCAACCAGUUACAUACCUUAGUUAUUCUGUAAUCCAAGUCGGAAACACACAAUCUAAUUAUAAAGGGAGCAGUUAAUUCUUGGAAAUGAGACGUUGGAUUGGAAUAGCACUCGUAUUAAUCGUGUGCGUGAGUUAUACUUAUGUGUCGGCGAAAAAAGUUAGAAAGAAUGGUGAUUUUAAGAUGGAGAUACGGAGACAAGUCAGUGAAUAUGAAGCCAAACGGAAGCAGAUACUAGAGAGUGGAGGGGACAAGUAUGAGGUUAGGGCUGCUCUUAUAAAGCUAAACAACGCUUUCGCUCAAAAGAAAGCAGCUAUGAGAGAGAAACAAAAAAACAACAAAAGGAUGAAUGGAAAAGAUGGGAAUAAAAAAAGAGACGAACGAAAGUACGGCCAAAAAGAAAUCGAAAGAAAGAGGCUCGAAGUUAUGAAAAGGAAGCACUGAAUUAAAUUAUGCGUCAUUAAAAACAUUUAUUGAUGAAGAAAAACAAAGCAGGAUUCAUAAUAUGUAUCUGGAUACAGUACUGUAUUACACUGGCGUAGAUAAACAGGCCGUAGCGAGAGAUGAAUUAUAUAGAAAUAUUUACGAUAUUGGAAAAAAUAUCAUACACUAUUUCAGGUCGUGUCAUUAUUAAAGAUAAAGGUAAAGCUGUUUGUUUUACAGUAAUAACAACAAUGAUAAUAAUAAUUAUUAUUAAUAUCAUAGACCUUUUGUCAAUAAAUAAUGAUAAUACUAAUAAUAGUAGCUAAUAUCAUUAUUAGGUAUCAAAUAAUAAUAAUAAUAAUUAUUAUUAUUAGGUAUCAAUUAUUAGGUAUCAAAUAAUAAUAAUACAAAUUAUUAUUAUUAUUUUAGUAAAUGAUAACAAUAACAAACAAUUAUAAUAUAUUAUAAUAUAUCACAGGUGUACGUUAAUAUGUCUUAUCAGUAAUUAAUUAAAUAAAUCUAUUAUAGGAUUUUUUUCUAUUAAAUUGUAUUGUAAAUUGCGUCAAUCCAUAUGAUUGCACUAUUGCAUAGACCAUGGAGCUAUAAAAUUAUAUAGUACUGUAAAAAUUGUAUAGUCUCUACCGAUUACCAUUAUGUUGCUAUACGCCAGUGUACGCAUCCCGUGGUCCGCGGACCACUUGUUGGUCCGCCGAAUUGGUGCUCCUUCAAACGCUAAGGGUCCGUGGAUGGUCCGCGAGAAAUGUAAGUGGUCUGCCAAAGGUUGAGUGGUCCGCCCUCGUAUUUGGCCUAUAAAUCCACAAAAACAGCAUACUAUUUUUAAUUUGACUUGGGUUUCACACUCAGACGUGGGACGUGUACUAUUGCAAUAUAAUUUUUUGUCUAUCGGUGUAACUUUUUGUUCCCAACUUCUUAAAUCUUACGUGGGUCUAGUAAUAACACCUUCGGUCGGUCUUGCGCGCAUUCUUUGACGUUUCCGCCAGGGAGAUGUUCACAGGCAACAGAUGCCAUAACGAGCGUAAAGCCAAAUGUUAAGAAAAUAUUACUAGUGAUAUGUAGGCUCAAGGUAGCCAACUACUUUAGCCUUGUUUUUUUUUUCUAUCUGUUGCCAUCAUUUGAAACUUUGCUUGUUUUUAUGUGGCAUAUAGAGUAUCUUUUAUGUUAUUACUGUAGAUUUUUAUACAUGAUAUCUUUAUACGAUAUUUUGAAGGCCUUGCGCUCUUUAUUAGCGUAGGCGACAAUAUAUAUCUGAUUAUGAUACACACAUAUAUAUAUAUAUAAUUAUAUAUAUAUAUAAUUAUAUAUAUAUAUUAUUUAUAUCCGCAUAUUCAAUAAAACCAAUUACAAAUAACAAUACGUUAUGUGUAUAUUGAAUAGUAGUAAUUCAUGGUCUUUAUAUAUUAUCUGCACAAUGUACGGUACCAGAAUAUAUUUUAAGUAGACUU